UUCUUCCUCUGUUCUUAUUUUCUCCUUUGUUCUUCCUUCUGCCCGAGCGACACAGAGAUGUGAGACAGAGAGAGAUCGAGAGUUUGAGAGAGAGUGAGGUCGGGAGAUCGAGAGAGAGAUGGAGGCCCGAUCCUCCGGUGGAUGACGCCAGUGAAGCUACGAUGGCCGAUCCUCCAGGUGCGAUUUCCGGCGAGCUCGUUGACCCAAGAACCCAUGGAAACCCGUAACCCAGAACCCCUCGGACCCGCAACCCAUGACCCGCUGAACCCGUGAGGAAGACCCGGUUCUCCAAGUGUGGUUUCCAGCAAAUUUUCCGGCGGAAAUCAGAGGCGAUUUUUAAUGGAUUUUUGAGGAAAAUCCCAAGGAGCAUGUCAUAGUUGGAGACUUCAACAGGUUCUCCAAUGUAGAGUUCGAGUCAUGAGUUCAAUGCAGCCAAGAUGAUGUUUCUUUGGCUGCAGGUACUUCGGUAUUGUUGAUGGGUUGGUAGCAGUGUACUUGGGAUAUUAUGACUGAAGCUUGUCGCGACAGUUGUAAUUGUCGGACCACGGGUUGUCCACUAUUUUAUAGGUUAGGUAUGACUUGUGGCGUUUGUGUCACUUAUUAUUUGUUAAGACAUUAUUGUUAUGUAAAUAUUGUGUUAAUAAGACUCAAACAGAUAGAUGUUAAA